rnacentral:lncRNA from 1 species
GAAGGGGUAAACAGAGACUUAAGUCAAAAAUGUCGAUAUGAAGGGCAACACCAUCAGAAUGAGGGUGGUCGGGGCGCUCGCCCUUGCGAGGUACCCUAAGGUGGACAGAUUGAGGUAUGUUGUACUUGGCUCUAACCCUUUCUAAAUCUCUCGGAGUAGCCAGCCUACCCCUUAGUGCAUAGAGCUUAGGAGCUACAGAGACAGAGGGAGAGAUCAGGGGAGGUUCUGGAAUGCUGACAGGAACAGGAGAUUUGGGUCUGGAUGUCUUUGCACGAGUUUUUCUAUGGGCUGGCUUAGUUGGGUGUUUGUCUUUAAUCUUUGAUUUUUUACUGGUUUUGGUUCGAGAUAACUUGGGACUAGGCGAAGGGGACCCAUCGUCGUCACUAAGGGAUAUAUAAGGGGCUGAAUCAGAAAGGGGAGCCUCCUCACUCGUCUCCCCCUGCU